CCUACGGGAGGCAGCAGUGAGGAAUAUUGGUCAAUGGGCGGAAGCCUGAACCAGCCAAGUAGCGUGCAGGAUGACGGCCCUACGGGUUGUAAACUGCUUUUAUACGGGAAUAACGCGCCUUACGUGUAGGGCUUUGCAUGUACCGUAUGAAUAAGGACCGGCUAAUUCCGUACCAGAAGCCGAGGUAAUACGGAGGGUCCGGGCGUUAUCCGGAUUUAUUGGGUUUAAAGGGAACGUAGGCCGGAUGUCAAGCGUUCGGUGAAAUUUCGGGGAUCAACCCGGGCCGUGGAGCGCGAACUGGCAUGCUUGAGUCCGCGGAAAGCAGGCGGAAUUCGUCGUGUAGCGGUGAAGGCUUAGAUAUGACGAAGAACCCCGAUUGCGAAGGCAGCUUGCUGCAGCGGAACUGAAGCUGAUGCUCGAAAGCGAGGGUAUCGAACAGGAGUAGAUACCCCUGUAGUC
rnacentral:rRNA from 1 species